CACGUAGGGGGCAAGCGUUGUCCGGAUUUAUUGGGCGUAAAGAGCUCGUAGGCGGUUCGGCAAGUCGGGUGUGAAAUUUCGAGGCUCAACCUCGAAACGCCACUCGAUACUGCUGUGACUGGAGUCCGGUAGAGGAGUGCGGAAUUCCUGGUGUAGCGGUGAAAUGCGCAGAUAUCAGGAGGAACACCGGUGGCGAAGGCGGGUCUCUGGGCCGAAAUUGACGCUGAGGAGCGAAAGCGUGGGGAGCAAACAGG
rnacentral:rRNA from 1 species